rnacentral:rRNA from 1 species
ACGCUCGACACCUACCGGAGGCAGCAGUGGGGAAUAUUGGGCAAUGGGCGAAAGCCUGACCCGGCAACGCCGCGUGAGGGAAGAAGGUUUUCGGAUUGUAAACCUCUGUCCUCAGGGACGAAGGACGUGACGGUACCUGAGGAGGAAGCCCCGGCUAACUACGUGCCAACAGCCGCGGUAAUCUGAGCGGGCUGGCAAGGC